rnacentral:tRNA from 1 species
GGGCCUAUAGCUCAGUUGGCAGAGCUGCGGACUCAUAAUCCGUCGGUCACAGGUUCGAGUCCUGUUGGGCCCACCA